ACUUUUAUAUAUAUCUUAGAGACAUUUAACAAAAUCUCUAAUUUAUAUAUGAUUUCUCACAACUCUUAAGAGCUAAAAGGUAUUCAAUUGAAAUUAAAAAAUGACAAAUUUUACAUAUAAAGUGUUGAAAGAAGAUUUAAUUAUUAGUAUUACAAGUAAAAAAGGAAAAAUAUGGAUCAAAUUUUCAAAUUUAAUUUUCUUUUGAUAAUUUUUCUAUCUCUAUUUCUUAUUGUAAAGAGCGUUGAUUGGGAUUGUACAAGAGACAUAGAUUGUCCAUCUAAUUGGUGUCUCCCUCCUUAUUCCAAAAAGUGCAUUGAAUCAAUUUGUUUCUGCUUGCCCAAGGAUUGGACACCAUUAUUUUAAAAUAUAUUAUGUUACAAAUAAACGUUUACUCCUAGUUCCUCUCA